AUGCAUCUCUGACAGACCUGGAGUAGUUAAUGUUUGCUGCUAAGGUUUCCACUAUAGAUGGAAGAAAAAGAAGGUCCUGUGCUUUCUGUCUGUCUGGUUGUGGCAGUCAAGAUUGAAUGGGGGAAUACAGGA
rnacentral:snoRNA from 1 species